rnacentral:rRNA from 1 species
GACGAACGCUGGCGGCGUGCCUAAUACAUGCAAGUCGAACGCAGUGGGGACGGGUGAGUAACACGUGGGUAACCUCCCCAUCAGAGGGGAGAACACUUAGAAACAGGUGCUAAACCGAUACUGAUGGAUGGACCCGCGGUGCAUUAGCGAGUUGGUGGGGUAACGGCUCACCAAGGCCACGAUGCAUAGCCGACCUGAGAGGGUGAUCGGCCACAUUGGGACUGAGACACGGCCCAGACUCCUACGGGAGGCAGCAGUAGGGAAUCUUCGGCAAUGGACGAAAGUCUGACCGAGCAACGCCGCGUGAGUGAAGAAGGUUUUCGGAUCGUAAAACUCUGUUGUUAGAGAAGCGGUAUCUAACCAGAAAGCCACGGCUAACUACGUGCCAGCAGCCGCGGUAAUAC